ACAUAUAUAGAUUGAUACAUACAGGCACAGACACAAACAGGAACAAACGUCACAAUCCCUAACCUUAACUAGCUCAAACAACAACAAAAUCUACAGAGACAGAUACAUACACAUAUAGACACAAGAAUAUUCUAUCCUCUGUUUCCCCACAUGCUCUGAUUUCUCCCAUUGAAAGGCAAGUCUGUUGUAUAAGUGUAAAUGUGAAGGUACAUAUAUACAUUUACAUUUAUUUCAGGUAUAAUAAAGUGUUACUUGCUGCCCCAGCAAAACACAUAUAACGUGUUUGUGUAUUUGCAUAUAUAGCAUUGUGUCAUGGAUCUGUGUGUUUGAGUUGGGUUGGUUGUUGUAUUGCCAAUGUGGGGUUUCUUGGAGUAAUUUUAGUGGCUGAUUGAUUGCUUUGGAUCUUGAGGAGGCAUGGCAUUGUUUAAAAGGUUCUUUUAUCGAAAACCGCCAGACGGGCUCUUGGAGAUUUCGGAUAGGGUCUUUGUCUUCGAUUGUUGCUUCACUGCGGAUAUUAUGGAUGAUGAUGAAUAUAAAAAGUAUUUGGGAGGCAUAGUCACUCAACUUCAGGAAUAUUACACCGAUGCCUCGUUUAUGGCAUUCAAUUUUCGAGAGGGAAAUAAGCAAAGCCACCUUGCCAGCAUACUCUCUAAAUAUGAUAUGACUGUAAUGGAUUAUCCUCGGCAAUAUGAAACUUGCCCAUUGCUUACAAUGGAAAUGGUCCACCAUUUCCUCAGAUCAUGUGAAAGCUGGAUCUUACUUGGUCAGCGCAAUGUGCUCUUAAUGCAUUGUGAGCGUGGAGGAUGGCCUAUUUUAGCAUUCAUGCUUGCUGCACUGUUAAUAUAUAGGAAGCAGUACACUGGGGAACAGAAGACUUUAGAAAUGAUAUACAAGCAGGCACCUCGAGAGCUUUUGCAACUGAUGUCACCUGUAGAUCCAUCUCCUUCACAGCUGAGGUACCUACAGUACAUCUCGAGAAGAAAUUUGGGUUCUGAAUGGCCUCCUCUAGAUAGAGCUCUCACCAUGGAUUGCAUCAUUCUUAGAUUUAUUCCUAAUAUGGACGGAGAGGGUGGAUGCCGUCCCAUUUUCAGGAUAUAUGGACCAGAUCCUCUUAUGGUUGCUGAUCCCACUCCCAAGGUGCUGUUCUCAACACCAAAGAGGAGCAAAGUUGUCCGUCAAUAUAAGCAGGCAGAUUGCCAACUUGUUAAAAUAGACAUCAACUGUCAUGUUCAAGGUGAUGUCGUGCUUGAGUGUAUAAGCUUAGAUAGUGAUCUAGAACGUGAAAGGCUGAUGUUUAGGAUCAUGUUCAAUACAGCGUUUAUUAGAUCAAAUAUAUUGAUGCUUAACCUUGAUGAAGUUGAUUUAUCAUGGAAUGACAAGGAUUGCUUCCCCAAGGAUUUCAGAGCAGAGGUUAUCUUUUCAGAGAUGGACUCAAGAUCUUCACCUGUUAUGCUUCAUGUGCCUGAUAUCGAUGGGGAUGGAGGUCUCCCCGUUGAAGCAUUUGCAAAAGUAAAGGAGAUUUUUAGCUCUGUGGACUGGGUGGACACUAGCAAAGAUGUAGCGCUAAAUGUGCUCCAGAAGAUCACAUCAGCAAAUCUUUUGCAAGAGAAAUUAGACAGCAGCUUGCUGAAGGGUACUGCGGAUAAUCAAUUUAAUAUUUUUUCUCGGAUCAAUAGCUGCGACAGUUUGUGGGAUGAUCAAAAUCUUGCGGAGGAUGCGGAGAAACCAAGUCCAAAGGUUUUGGAAGAUGAUAUAACUAGUUCAUCUCCAGAUUUGAACUUGGCAUUCAAGAAGAGUGAGUCCCGUGGACUACAUAUUAUAACUCAGCGGAUUCUUCAAACUUCUUUAUCUUCUCCAACCGUUCAUAGUAGUUCCCAGCAAGCUUCACCCAUGUCUCUCUCUAGAUACCACAGUGCACCCUUCCUCGGUAUAACAGCUCUACUUCAUGAUCAUGAUGAGCCGAAAGCUAAAGAAGUCUACCUAUCAGCAAAAACAUCUCCAGUCGCUUCUGGCUCUUCGUCUCCUGAAAUGUCUACCCCUGUCCACUUUAGUGUCAUUUCAAAUCUAGAGUCUUCCCGCUCACCUUUCUCGCUGCUUCCUUCGGAGGCUACAACUAUAAGAAAUGAUAAAACUGAACUGAAUUCACCUCCAGCUGUUUCUGAACUGGAUUUAUGCCCGUCUUCUAUAAAAUCCUCCUCAGAUAUGGACACAAGUUCUUCACUUUCUAUAUCCUCAUUGACGCCUCUGGUUGAGACUGCAACGUUGUCAAAAUUUUCUGCAACUGCUCCUCAACCACCGCACCGUCCUGAUAUUACUCCAGAUCCAGAGCCAUUGCAUACUUCAGUUAUUCAACAUUCUGGAACCUCCGUCUUAGGUAGAGUACGUUCUUCAUCUGUUCCGCCACACCCACCUCCCUCAUCUGUUUCAGAAAAAUCUUCUAUUACUUCAUCCAAGAGUUUAAGCUCACUGGCCACUAUAGCUCAACCUUCCGCUGAUUCGUCUGCCACUCGAAGGAACUUAAUGCGUCCUCCCGCUCCUAUACCUACCUCAAAGGUUGUUUUGUCUCAAUCUAAAGAUGAUUUAUCCCCUUCCCCCCCUUCCCCUCCCCUGCCUCCUGUGUCACUACAUGUUGAUUCUCAAUCUACAGAUAAUCUAUCCCCAAUCCCCCCUUCCCCUCCCCUGCCUCCUGUGUCACAUCAUGUUAAUUCAUCAGAUUCCUCACCAUUGCCUGUAAAACGAUUGGAAGAUAUAGCUUGCCCUCGUCCACCUCCUCUGCCUCCUUUAAGUUCGAAACCAGCCGGACCUAUCAUGUCUACAGCGCCACUACCACCUCCAGCUCCCAGUUUUGCUUCCAAGGGUCCUCCUAAUAAGAUUUCUCUUGAUGUUCCAUUAGCACCAGUUCCGCCACCUCCAUCUACAACUGCGAAUGGUUUACUGAAAGCAGGCACUACACCAGUUCCACCAGCACCAGUUCCACCACCUCCAUCUCCAACUGCCAACGGCUUACUGAAAGCCAGCACUGCACCAGUUCCUCCAGCACCAGUUCCACCACCUCCAUCUCCAACUGGAAAUGGCCCCGGCGGUACUGCUUCUAGUAAUGGAAACAUACCUCCGAUUCCUGGACCGCUAUUAAAUGCAAAGGGAAGAUUGAACUUGCGUCCAGGUUCAAAAAAUCAGGUCCAAUCCUCCAAAAAGUCAAACUUGAAACCCUAUCACUGGCUAAAGUUAACAAGGGCCAUGCAAGGAAGCCUAUGGGCUGAAACACAGAAGUCCGAUGAAGCUUCCAAGGCUGCGGAGUUUGACAUGUCUGAACUUGAGAGUCUUUUCUCAGUUGUUCCAAAUUCUGAUACGGGAAGCAGAGGAAAAUCAAACCGUCGGGCCUCAGCAGCCAAGCCAGAGAAAGUUAGCCUGAUUGAUUUUAGGAGGGCAUAUAAUUGUGAAAUCAUGCUCUCAAAAGUUAAGAUCCCUCUGCCUGAUAUGAUGAAUGCAGUCCUCGCGUUGGACGAUUCCGCUUUGGAUAUUGAUCAGGUUGAAAAUCUUAUAAAGUUUUGCCCGACCAAAGAAGAAAUGGAAGUUCUCAAGAAUUAUAGAGGUGACAAGGAAAAUCUUGGAAAAUGUGAACAGUUUUUUCUCGAAUUGAUGAAAGUGCCACGGGUCGAGGCCAAGUUAAGAGUGUUUGCAUUUAAGAUACAAUUUUGUUCUCAGGUUUCUGACCUCAGAAAGAGUUUAAAUGCUGUCAAUUCUACAUCGGAAGAGGUCCGAAAUUCGAUGAAGUUAAAAAGAAUCAUGCAAACUAUUCUGUCACUUGGAAAUGCUUUAAAUCAGGGAACUGCAAGGGGUUCUGCUGUUGGAUUUCGACUGGAUAGCCUACUCAAGCUGACUGAUACACGAGCACGAAACAACAAGCUGACAUUGAUGCACUACCUCUGCAAGGUGCUAGCUGAGAAGCUUCCCGAACUUCUAGAUUUUCACAAAGACCUUGUGACUUUGGAGAUAUCAACAAAGAUACAGUUGAAAUAUUUAGCUGAAGAAAUGCAAGCCAUUAGCAAAGGCCUGGAGAAAAUUGUUCAGGAACUUACUGCAUCAGAAGGCGAUGGUCCUGUUUCAGAAACAUUUUGCCAGAUUUUGAAGGAAUUUCUUGGUUUUGCUGAAGCUGAAGUGAGAUCCCUGGCAUCUCUUUAUUCCGUAGUGGGAAAAAAUGCUGAUGCGCUGGCUCUUUAUUUUGGUGAAGAUCCUGCCCGUUGCCCAUUUGAGCAAGUUGUUUCAACAUUACGUAAUUUUGUGAGAAUGUUUGUGCGAGCACAUGAGGAAAACUGCAAGCAGAUUGAGCUUGAGAAAAAGAAAUCUCAGAAAGAAGAGGAGAAGGAGAAGGAAAAAUCGAGCACUCUUAGAAAAAGACCAGAAAUGGAAACUAUGAAGACCAAGGAGUGCGCAGAACAUUUGAUUAAAACGUAGUCGUAACACAGUUAGCUAAGUGGAUGAUAUCCACAAGCUGUUACAUCUCGGUUACAAGCUGGGAAUAGCAAGAUCUCGGAAGUAUGACGAUAUGAAUUAGAACCUUAAGGAUGGAAUCAACACAAUUUGUAGGAUAACCAAGAAAGCGACUAGUUGCAGCGGAGAUGGAAAAUGGAAUUUGAUGAAGCUGGUGACUUGUAGGAUAGUCUGCAAAUGUUUUUUAGGUAGGGAGCACUUAGUUUAGGAAUCAACUUCCUUGUUAGUGUAGCUUGUACAUGACAAACAUUGUUCUCUAAUGCUAUUAUUAAUAUAAAUGUGUUUGUGUUUGUGUGUC